rnacentral:rRNA from 1 species
AUGACUUGGAACGUUCUCUCAUUGCUAGGUAUGAGUACCCUUACUCAGCUGAAUCAAUACUACAGACAGCGUAGUAAAAAGAAUUGGGUCUCAAAAGGUGAUCGUAACACGAAGUUUUUUCAUCAAGUUGUUCUUAAACGUAGAAAAAGAAACACUAUUUGUUCAGUUAAAGAUGAAAACAAUAUCAUCCACUUUAAACCUUCUGCUAUCAUGCAAACCUUUGUUAACUAUUUCAAAUAUAUUUUCUCGCCAUUUCCUCAACAGAAUUCUUUCACUGAUAACAAUGAUCCUACUCAUUCCACGCCUGAUAAAGAUGAGAUUUUCCAAAUCCUUAAAGAUAUGAAACUUAAUGCUUCCCCGGGACCGGAUGGAUUCAACGUGGAGUUCUACUUAGCCACAUGGGAUUGGAUUGGCGAACAGGUAACGAACCUGAUUUCUACCUUUUAUGCUACUGGUAUCCUUCCUCCACACAUUAAUGACACAAAUAUUGCACUCAUUCCGAAAAAGUUGGUCUCUCUUGUUCCCAUGGAUUAUAGGCCGAUUAGCAUGUGCAAUGUCAUUUACAAAAUUAUUGCUAAGUCCUUGGCUAAUAGACUUAAACCCCACCUUCCUGACUAUGUUGAUCCAGCUCAACAAGCUUUUAUUGAAGGUAGGCGUAUUUCAGACAAUAUUAUUAUUGCUCAAGAAAUUGCACACUCUUUUUCUCUCAAAUCCUGGAAACAAAAUGCUUUCAUGCUUAAAAUUGAUCUUGCUAAAGCUUUUGAUCGUUUAGAGUGGAAUUUCAUUGUUUCUGCUCUUGCUCGUAAAGGGUUGCAUGGUCAUUUUAUCAACUUGGUGCAUGCCUGUAUUUCCUCUCCCACGUUCUCUGUUCUCAUUAAUGGUCAACCUUCCCCUAAGUUUAAAACGCAUAGAGGUAUCAGACAAGGUUGUCCAUGUCUCCUUAUCUUUUUGUCCUGGACAUAA